rnacentral:rRNA from 1 species
AGGAAGUAAAAGUCGUAACAAGGUUUCCGUAGGUGAACCUGCGGAAGGAUCAUUAUUGAAUAGCUUUGGGGCGCUGUGCUGGCCUUUCGGGGCAUGUGCACGCGUUUCCAUCUAUUUACUUAUCUCUUGUGAACCUAGUGUGGGCUUUGAAUGAGUGGGUUCGAGUGGAACUGGUCUUUCAUUAGAUUGGGGAAGCUUGGGCUAGCUUGUUUGAAGACCAUUUUUAUAAACCUAUUUGAAAUUUAUCAGAAUGUACUUCUUUACUUGACGCGAGUCAGUAAGAACCUUAUACAACUUUCAGCAACGGAUCUCUUGGCUCUCCCAUCGAUGAAGAACGCAGCGAAAUGCGAUAAGUAAUGUGAAUUGCAGAAUUCAGUGAAUCAUCGAAUCUUUGAACGCACCUUGCGCCCUUUGGUAUUCCGAAGGGCAUGCUUGUUUGAGUGUCAUUAACUUCUCAACCUUGGUGGACUUUGUUGCUCACUUCAAGGCUUGGAUGUGAGGGUCUUUGCUGGCUUCCUUCAGUGGCGGUCUGCUCCCUUUAAAUGCAUUAGUGGAAUCCUUUGUGGACGGUCACUUGGCUUGAUAAUUAUCUAUGCUUUGUGUGCUUUGAAGCAAACCUUAUGGGACUUCUGCUUAUAACCGUCUUGUAAUAAGACAACUUUUUGAACCUUUGACCUCAAAUCAAGUAGGACUACCCGCUGAACUUAAGCAUAUCAAUAAGCGGAGGAAAAGAAACUAACAAGGAUUCCCCUAGUAACUGCGAGUGAAGCGGGAAAAGCUCAAAUUUAAAAUCUGGCAGCUUCGCUGUCCGAGUUGUAAUUUAGAGAAGUGUUACCCGUGCUGGAC